AUUUAACUGACGAGUUCCAAAUAGGACGAAACGUGCGUCCUGGUU
rnacentral:hammerhead_ribozyme from 1 species